rnacentral:lncRNA from 1 species
CUCCUAUCCAAUUCUGCUGAAUGGUAUACAGAUAAGACGUUUGAUAAAUAAUUCCCUGAGAAACCAUAAACUGCUGAAAUUGAAAUGACAAGUACGCUAAGGCAUUAUCACCACGAAAGAUGCAAUAAGAAACACCAAACCCAUUUUUUAUUUAAGCACAAAAACUCUGGAUAUAGGAAAAAACCCGGAACGAUCUUUC